UACGUAGGGCGCAAGCGUUGUCCGGAAUUAUUGGGCGUAAAGAGCUCGUAGGCGGCUUGUUGCGUCGGUUGUGAAAGCCCGGGGCUUAACCCCGGGUCUGCAUUCGAUACGGGCAGACUAGAGUUCGGUAGGGGAGACUGGAAUUCCUGGUGUAGCGGUGAAAUGCGCAGAUAUCAGGAGGAACACCGGUGGCGAAGGCGGGUCUCUGGGCCGAUACUGACACUGAGGAGCGAAAGCGUGGGGAGCGAACAGG
rnacentral:rRNA from 1 species